UACGUUUAUUUUCAUCAGCAGCAGCAGAACGGCCGGGCUUCCUGUGUACCUGUAGCCUCAGGAGCCCUGGUAGGUUUCCUGGAAACGAGCCGUUUCCUCGAAGAUCAGCUCCUUCAGC